GGGUUGUGAGGUUAAGCGACUAAGCGUACACGGUGGAUGCCCUGGCAGUCAGAGGCGAUGAAGGACGUGCUAAUCUGCGAUAAGCGCCGGUAAGGUGAUAUGAACCGUUAUAACCGGCGAUUUCCGAAUGGGGAAACCCAGUGUGACUCGUCACACUAUCAUUAACUGAAUCCAUAGGUUAAUGAGGCGAACCGGGGGAACUGAAACAUCUAAGUACCCCGAGGAAAAGAAAUCAACCGAGAUUCCCCCAGUAGCGGCGAGCGAACGGGGAGGAGCCCAGAGCCUGAAUCAGCAUGUGUGUUAGUGGAAGCGUCUGGAAAGGCGCGCGAUACAGGGUGACAGCCCCGUACACAAAAGCGCAUGUGCUGUGAGCUCGAUGAGUAGGGCGGGACACGUGGUAUCCUGUCUGAAUAUGGGGGGACCAUCCUCCAAGGCUAAAUACUCCUGACUGACCGAUAGUGAACCAGUACCGUGAGGGAAAGGCGAAAAGAACCCCGGCGAGGGGAGUGAAAAAGAACCUGAAACCGUGU
rnacentral:rRNA from 10 species